AGCAGCCGCGGUAAUUCCAGCUCCAAUAGCGUAUAUUAAAGUUGUUGCAGUUAAAAAGCUCGUAGUUGAAUUUCGGGACUAAUAUGUCGGUCGUACUUUGUACGUACUAGCAUUAUUGGUUUCUCCCUUCUGACGAACCACGAUGUCAUUAAUUUGGUGUCGCGGGAAAUCAGGACUGUUACUUUAGAAAAAAUUAGAGUGUUUAAAGCAAGCUCGCGCUUGAAUACAUUAGCGUGGAAUAAUGAAAUAGGACGUUUGAUUCUAUUUUGUUGGUUUCUAGGAUCGACGUAAUGAUUAAUAGGGAUAGUUGGGGGCAUUAGUAUUCAAUUGUCAGAGGUGAAAUUCUUGGUAUUUAUUGAAGACUAACUACUGCGAAAGCAUUUGCCAAGGAUGUUUUCAUUAAUCAAGAACGAAAGUUAGGGGAUCGAAGACGAUCAGAUACCGUCGUAGUCUUAACCAUAAACUAU
rnacentral:rRNA from 1 species